GACGAACGCUGGCGGCGUGCUUAACACAUGCAAGUCGAGCGAGGCCCCUCCUUCGGGAGGGUGUCCUAGCGGCGAACGGGUGAGUAACACGUGGGCAACCUGCCCCCGGCUCUGGGAUAACUCCAAGAAAUUGGGGCUAAUACCGGAUAUGACCGCUGACCGCAUGGUCUGGUGGUGGAAAGAUUUAUCGGCUGGGGAUGGGCCCGCGGCCUAUCAGCUUGUUGGUGGGGUAGUGGCCUACCAAGGCGACGACGGGUAGCCGGCCUGAGAGGGUGACCGGCCACACGGGGACUGAGACACGGCCCAGACUCCUACGGGAGGCAGCAGUGGGGAAUAUUGCGCAAUGGGCGGAAGCCUGACGCAGCGACGCCGCGUGGGGGAUGACGGCCUUCGGGUUGUAAACCUUUUUCAGCAGGGACGAAGCGAAAGUGACGGUACCUGCAGAAGAAGCACCGGCCAACUACGUGCCAGCAGCCGCCGUAA
rnacentral:rRNA from 1 species